rnacentral:rRNA from 1 species
UACGGGGGGGGCAAGCGUUGUUCGGAAUUACUGGGCGUAAAGGGCGCGUAGGCGGCCUGCUAAGUCAGACGUGAAAUCCCUCGGCUUAACCGGGGAACUGCGUCUGAUACUGGAUGGCUUGAGUUUGGGAGAGGGACGCGGAAUUCCAGGUGUAGCGGUGAAAUGCGUAGAUAUCUGGAGGAACACCGGUGGCGAAGGCGGCGUCCUGGACCAAUACUGACACUGAGGAGCGAAAGCCAGGGGAGCAAACGGG